rnacentral:rRNA from 1 species
UACGAGGGGGGCGAGCGUUGUUCGGAACUAUUGGGCGUAAAGGGUGCGUAGGCGGUUUUGUAAGUCUGAUGUGAAAUCUAUGGGCUCAACUCAUAGCCUGCAUCGGAAACUGCAGGGCUCGAGUGUGGGAGAGGUGAGUGGAAUUCCUGGUGUAGCGGUGAAAUGCGUAGAUAUCGGGAGGAACACCAAUGGCGAAGGCAGCUCGCUGGGACGUGACUGACGCUGAGACGCGAAAGCGUGGGGAGCAAACAGG